GAUGAACGCUAGCGGCAGGCUCAAUACAUGCAAGUCGUGGGGCAGCAGGGGUGCAGCAAUACAUCUGCUGGCGACCGGCAAACGGGUGCGUAACACGUACGCAACCUUCCCGUUACUGUGGCAUAGCCCAGGGAAACUUGGAUUAAUACCACAUAUUAUAUAGAGAGGGCAUCCUUUUUAUAUCAAAGCUUCGGCGGUAACGGAUGGGCGUGCGGUUGAUUAGGUAGUUGGCGGGGUAACGGCCCACCAAGCCUACGAUCAAUAGCUGAUGUGAGAGCAUGAUCAGCCACACGGGCACUGAGACACGGGCCCGACUCCUACGGGAGGCAGCAGUAAGGAAUAUUGGGCAAUGGACGAAAGUCUGACCCAGCCAUGCCGCGUGAAGGAUUAAGGUCCUCUGGAUUGUAAACUUCUUUUCUCUGGGGCGAAAACCAGCUAUUCUUAGCUAUUUGACAGUACCAGAGGAAUAAGCACCGGCUAACUCCGUGCCAGCCGCCGCGGUAAUAC
rnacentral:rRNA from 1 species